rnacentral:ncRNA from 13 species
GUCACGAUAGCUCAAAUGGUAGAGCACCGGCGUAUUAAGCCGAUGGUCGUGGGUUCGAAUCCCGCUCGUGACA